rnacentral:rRNA from 1 species
UUCUGGUUGAUCCUGCCGGAGGUUACUGCUAUUGGAAUCCGAUUAAGCCAUGCGAGUCGAUCGGGUCAGACCCGAGGCGCACUGCUCAGUAACACGUGGAGAAUCUGCCCUUAGGUGAGGAAUAACCUCGGGAAACUGAGAAUAAUACCUCAUAGGUUAUGGAUGCUGGAAUGCUUCAUAGCCCAAAGCCCCGGCGCCUAAGGAUGACUCUGCGGACUAUCAGGUAGUAGUCAGGGUAACGACCUGACUAGCCUACGACGGAUACGGGGUGUGAGAGCACUAGCCCGGAGAUGGAUUCUGAGACACGAAUCCAGGCCCUACGGGGUGCAGCAGGCGCGAAACUUCCGCAAUGCUCGACAGAGUGACGGAGGGAUUCCAAGUGCCUAUGCUAUGCGUAGGCUGUUUUUAUGUCUAAAUAACAUGGAGAGUAAGAGCUGGGUAAGACGGGUGCCAGCCGCCGCGGUAA